rnacentral:rRNA from 1 species
AUGGCGGUGGAGGAGGAGGAGGCGCCGGUCACCCUCAAAGCCAAGGAGAAGGUGCAGGUCAAGUUGGUGCUGACGAAGCCGACGUGGGUGGAUGUGGAGUACUCGGACUGCGACUCGGACGAAGAGGUCGACUCGGACGACGAAGACGCCGAGACGUUCCUGGCCAGGAUCAGGUCUGAGUACAACGCCCACGCCGAGAAGUUCAAGGCUGACAAUCCCUGGUUGAAGUGGAGGGACUACUCGGCCGACCCCAGGCAGCAGGAGGAGGCUGGCGCCGUGGUUGAUGGGCUUGGUUCCGUGUGA